rnacentral:pre_miRNA from 1 species
UUACUACUCCCUCCGUUUCAUAAUUCUUGUCGAAAUAUUACAUGUAUCUAGACAUUUUUUAGGAAUAGAUACAUCCAUAUUUGGGCAAAUUUGAGACAAGAAUUAUGGAAUGGAGGUAGUACAUG